GGUAGCCUCGCCUACUUGUCAGUUUGGUCUGUGGGGAAGAGGCAGAUAAAGCUCUGGUCCACUGAGCCAAAGAAGGUUCCCUCCCUCUGACAUAGGAGAUGGUGUAAAUCAGCAUCAAAUGACAGCACAUCACCACCACCAGCAGCAGCAGCACCAGACAGGGUGCCAUUGCUCCAAUGCAAGACCUCUCAAUCUCUCUGCCUCAGGUUUCUUCAGGGAGAAGAUCAAUCAUCUCUAGAAGAGGUGCCUUUAAUUAUUUGCGAUCAUACUGAUUAUGAACUGCCAUUUCUCAAAGGGACGUUUUCUCUACCGAAUGCAAACAGCUGGGAGCCGCUGACAGUACCCUGACACCAGGCCUGCAUCCUGGCCGAGAAGUGGUGCCAGGAUAGGUGCUGAUUUCCUGCAGAUUUCCUACAAGAUCUUGAUAGAUCUCAUCAAAGUCUUGCAAGAUGGCCUGCAUCCUGGCCAGGCCUGCGUGAGAAUAUGAAGCAAAAGGUUGUUCAUGUGAGCAACUCCAAAUCCUUACCUUGUCUGGAGUGAGACAUCACUUAUUUUUAUUCUUGGACUGCUCUUUUGUGCAAGCAUGGUAGAUCACAAAAGGCGUAUGGGCACAUGUAAACAAAUACCCAUGGAUCUCAGCUUUCCUGGCUUGGAGCAACACACACA